UUCACCAAGCUGGUACGAGCAGGGGAAGGCAUUCCAAAGGCGUCGUGGUGGUUCAGAACAGCUGCAUCUUUAUUCUCGUGGGGACACUGGACAGGAGACCUGCGUACUCUUGCACACGCCAUGAACUCAUCUGGUAAAGCGUUGCUUGCAGGCCUUCUCUUUUUUUGACAGAAGAUUAAUACAGAGGCUGCUUCUUCCAGUCUUGUUGAUAAAUACUCAUUGAGGCAUCCUACAGAGAGAUCAGAUCUCGAUUGUGGAGACAUCGGGCAGCUGUGGACUGUGAGGGUGAACCGUGGGGCUUCAGGCCAGUAGAAGGUGCUAGUACCAUGGUCUCUGGGAGCGAUGGGAAGUGCUGCGUCAGGGAGCUGGCUGUAGACUCAGCGAUGUUGAUGUCACUGCUUGUGUGACUUGGCCAGGAAGAGGAAGAAAAGGAGGGGUGAAGAACUGCCCUGCUGGAGAUGGAAACGCCUCCAAGGGAGGAAGAAAAGACAGAGCAAGGACGUUUGCAGUGGAAUUAAAGCCGGUAGUGUGACUCAAGAGCCUGGAGGAAAGGUCUCGUUCGUGCCAUCGGUGGCUGCAGCCUUGGUACCAGCCUCAUGUGCCAGGUCCAUGGAGAUCACUGUCUUUGUCCAAGAAAAAGUCACUGGUGCUACCAGCAUCACAGAAACCUGUCUGCUGCAGGUGUUUUCUUUAUCUGUAGGGAUAUCUUUUGUCUAAUGCCUUGCUGAAUUUUAUGUGCAAUUUUGUCAUUCCUCCCACCCCCCAACCUUUUUUAAAAAUUUCCCUAAAGCUAUAAUUUGCUUUCCAGAUUUAUCAUGUGCAUGUAUUCACAGAACCAGUAAGUGGGAACUCUUGUUUUACUCUCCGUGCGGUUGGUUGUUUUGUAUAACUGCAUGAAAGCCUUUCCCUUCUGAACUAAGGAGACGCUGUUUAAAAUUAUUCCUCAUGCUUAAUUCCUGCUGGCUUGGAACCAUAUUUCUGACUUCUUUUGGAGUUCUUUCUCUUCUUGCUGUUUUCUUUGUGGGAUAAAGCAAACAAAAAUGAAACCAGUAUCUGGGCAAAGCCAUACUAUUGAUUUAAACAGUGCCAUUAAUGUUAUCACUGUUGUUUUCUGUCUCAUUUUGUAUGCAUCCCAGCACUUGCUCUGCUUUUCUGAUAGCGCUGCACUUCAGCAGAAGACUUUGUAGAGUUUUCCCACAGUGAUGUGCAGAGCUGUUGCACUAAAGUUAGAAGGGAAGCUAUGAAGAGGUGAGUGUGGAAUGUUAAAAAGACAGAAACCGUUGGUAAGAUACACAAGAAAGGGAUCUAAUUACAGGCUUUUGUCAAAAGAGUUCAUAAAGCCAGCACAGGUCCAGCGAAGCUGAGAGAAAGAAGGAUGAAAAAUAGCUGGUACGUAAAGGUACUCAUAGGAGCAGGGAUGUGUCUGUAUUCUGAACGGGAUUAGAAGUGAUCAGAGCUUCAGCAGCAAGCUUUGGAACGUGGUCCUUCAUCUGAUGCUGGCACCUCCAGCCGUGUGCAGCAUUGCCACCGUCAGCGUGCUGUGGGAGGACUUAGCACGGCUGGGGGUACAGCUGGCUCCUCACUGAUCCGCUGGGGGUUCCUGCAGGUAACCAGAAGCCUGCCUCAAAUCCCACAAAUUGGCAGAGCCCUCAUUUUGGAGAUAACGUGAGAUUUAAACAGCUUUGUAGAUCACAGCAGGUGAAGUUAAACCAAAUCAAUUUGUUUUCUAAAAUUUAGCCUUGGCUGAACAACUGUGACAGUCCCUAGCAAACCGAAUUUGAAAUGAACCCACCCUGUGUAUAAAUAAAACGUCCCGGUGUUCCUGUUGGUUUCUCUGGUGCCGUCUUUCUGCACUCGGGCUAGAUGCUCUGCAGCCUGGUUCGUUCCUCGCAGAAGGCGUCUUUAACCUUCUGAUUGGCACUGGGUGGUACGGUGACGGAAGCCCUGAUUUUGCACACAAUGAAUAUAUUGAUAGAUUUAUCUCAUUUAUUGUACUUAUCUGUCAUGGCUAAGGACACUAAUGAGUUGUUUUCAGGGACUAAUGAGAACUGUAAUGGCUAAUGGAUGUUUACAGCAUCGCUGCAUUUCGCCAUGUGAUAAUGUGAACACCAACUUCAGUCCCUUCAAAUCUUUAAUUGGCACCAUCAGUGUCUUUAAUUACAUUCAUCAGACAAUAAAAGUCUCAGAGAAAUCAAUGGGGAGAGGCAGAUAAUCCUGCUGGAGUGACCAGUUGCUCUAAGGGACACUUCUUUUGGAUGCUGCAGUCUUAAGUAAUAGAUUGCUGUAAGAAUUCUCCAAGAACUGAUUUUAAAACAGACCCAGUUCAAACUCAGACUUUUUCCUAUCUGCUCUGCGUUUUCCAUUACCUGAACUGUGCUUUUACCUCACAUAAAGUUUUCAUAUCUAUGGCAAAAAAGAUUGUCUUAGCAUUUUUGCUGAUCAGACUCGUGGGGGACACUUGCCAUUUGGAAACUAUUUCAGUGUGUGACUGGACCUCAAAAGUAAGUUACAGUGGGGGAGAUUUAUCAGAGUGAUCCAGGCAGUAAGCAGGAACAU